rnacentral:lncRNA from 1 species
UGGAAAAGGAUCCUCCAGUCCAUGUCAAGUUUUCAGAGGAGUGCAGCCUCAGCAGACAUAAUUAUAACCUCUUGAAAGACCCUGAGCCUCUAAGCUGCUUCUAGUUUCCCGACCGUCAGAACCUCUUUGAAGUAAUAAAGUCUCCUUUGCUGGUUCUUCCGGGAUGGGAUUACUGCCCUUCUAAGAAAAGGGAGAGACCAGAGCUCCUUCACUCUCAGCCCUAUGAGGACACAGUGAGAAGGUGGCUGUCUGCACGCCAGGAAGCAGACCCACACCAAGAAUCGAAUCUGCCGGCACCCUGGUCUUGUACUUCUCAACCUCCAGAACUACAUCUUCUCAUUGAUUCCAUCCAGAACUUUCCAAACUGGGGCCAGGUGUGUGAGAAGACUUGUGAACGCCCUUUCUCAAUCAGAGCAAACCCAGACCUAAGCUGGUCCGUGGGAGGACGAGAGACCGAACGGAGCAGAGCCGAGUCGCCCCAGCUGUGAGCAUCUGAGACCACCUAGGCCCAGCUGACUUUCCGGCUGACCACAGGCACAGAAGUUUGGUUCCCAGGCGUGGACCUAUACGACUCGUCGCCCAUGCUGUCGCAGCAACCCACAUACAAAAUAGAGGAAGAUUGGCAGCAGAUGUUAGCUCAGGACGAAUCUUCCUCAGCAAAAAAAUAAAAAUAAAAAUAAAUAAGAGAAGUGGACAGAACCUUGGAGAAUGCCAACAUUUUAGGGGGGAGCAGAGUGAGAGAAGAAAGAGGGCAACUGCAAAGAGCAGAUGUCAAGAGGCUGUGGAAUCAACGUGUCUUGAGAAAGCGGAGAUGGAGACUUCGACCACUUCUUUUCAAUUAGUUCGCUUCACCAUCUGGAUCACCAUUGGAGCGCUGAGAAGCCAGAAGGAGAGGUGGCCUCCAGAUGUCUCUAGGGAGCCAACCAGGUUUCUGACAUUUAAGCUCUGCCCCCGUAGAUUUCUUGCAGCACAAGGACUUUGGAAUAAAUAACGGUGGUUUCAAAAUUUGGGACCCUCUUCUCCUGCAUGUCAGCCUGGAUAUACUGGAGGAAAACACCAGCAUAAUGCCUGUUCCUAGGAAUUUAUGUUUCCAAUCACCUGAUCACCUAGCUUUAAAGCUGGUCUAGAAAAGAAAAAGAAAGGAUGACUGAAUCCAGUAAAUGAAGAAAAGUGACCAAUGUUGUGAGGCUUCUGCAAUCGCAAAAUGACAACCCUUUAGCCUUUUCACUAGUGUCAUGUGAUGGUAGGUGAUCUAGACACCCAUCGAAGGAAAACCGUUUCCAAAUUGCUCUGGGUGACAUCUGCUUGUCACCAGUGAAACCAAAAGGACAGCAGGGUAGAUUGCCUUCCACAGGACAGACAGAAAUAUGUCAGAAGACAUUCACAUGGAAACUGUGUCCAUGGUUAUACUCAAAGGUUUACUCGAAUUCCGCCUAGAAACCUGGCUCCUAUGCUCUGGACAAAAUCCUCUGUCAUUGAGUGUUUGAAGACACGAGAAUACAGGUUUGGCUUCAAUCUUGCUGUGUCUAGAUUGGGAACAUAAAGGUCAGUGGCUUUACAAAGGGCUUGUUGAUGCCACUCGUAGGAGUCUGGUUAUUUUGGUGCCCAGUAUGUUGUCAAAGUCAGUACUGAGAGCCCUCUUGUGAACACAACUGGGCUCAAUAUUCCAGAUAAAUGUGCAACAAUGAAGAAGGUGACAGAGGAAAUCAAGGCAGCAGUUGAUGCAUAGGUGGCUUGAUAGGAGGGCAGUAGAGGGAUCCCAUGGCAGAGGGAGGCACGGGUCAGUGUGAGAGAAGAGCAGUGAAACUUGUUUUGUGGCCAGCAGUAGGGGCUAGCAGAAAGCCUGUCCUCAUCAGAAAGAUCUGCUGUCACAUGAUGAGGACCAAGCUGUGAGACCUGAGUUUCAAGCUUGGAAUUCCAGUUCUGGGAAAGGAUUGGACAGA